rnacentral:rRNA from 1 species
AUUGAACGCUGGCGGCAGGCCUAACACAUGCCAGUCGAACGGUAACAGAAAGCAGCUUGCUGCUUUGCUGACGAGUGGCGGACGGGUGAGUAAUGUCUGGGAAACUGCCUGAUGGAGGGGGAUAACUACUGGAAACGGUAGCUAAUACCGCAUAACGUCGCAAGACCAAAGAGGGGGACCUUCGGGCCUCUUGCCAUCGGAUGUGCCCAGAUGGGAUUAGCUAGUAGGUGGGGUAACGGCUCACCUAGGCGACGAUCCCUAGCUGGUCUGAGAGGAUGACCAGCCACACUGUAACUGAGACACGGUCCAGACUCCUACGGGAGGCAGCAGUGGGGAAUAUUGCACAAUGGGCGCAAGCCUGAUGCAGCCAUGCCGCGUGUAUGAAGAAGGCCUUCGGGUUGUAAAGUACUUUCAGCGGGGAGGAAGGGAGUAAAGUUAAUACCUUUGCUCAUUGACGUUACCCGCAGAAGAAGCACCGGCUAACUCCGUG